rnacentral:rRNA from 1 species
AGAGUUUGAUCAUGGCUCAGAGCGAACGCUGGCGGCGUGCUUAACACAUGCAAGUCGAACGCGCAGCAUUCUGUAGCAAUACAGGAUGUGGGCGCGUGGCGAACGGGUGCGUAACACGUGGAUAACCUUCCUUCAGGUGGGGAAUAACCCAGCGAAAGUUGGACUAAUACCGCAUCACAUUACGAGGGCACAUGCUCUUGUACUCAAAGCCGCAAGGCGCCAGAAGAGGGAUCCGCGGCCGAUUAGCUAGUUGGCGAGGUAAUGGCUCACCAAGGCAAUGAUCGGUAGCCGGACUGAGAGGUUGGCCGGCCACACUGGAACUGAGACACGGUCCAGACUCCUACGGGAGGCAGCAGUGGGGAAUCUUGCGCAAUGGGCGAAAGCCUGACGCAGCAACGCCGCGUGGGGGAUGAAGCUUCUCGGAGUGUAAACCCCUUUCGACCCGGAAGAAUGCCCGCAAGGGUUUGACGGUACGGGUAUAAGAAGCCCCGGCUAACUACGUGCCAGCAGCCGCGGUAAUACGUAGGGGGCCAGCGUUGCUCGGAAUUACUGGGCGUAAAGGGUCCGUAGGCGGUGUGGCAAGUCGGGAGUGAAAUCUCUGGGCUUAACUCAGAGGCUGCUUCCGAAACUGCCGUGCUAGAGUGUGAGAGAGGCGAGUGGAAUUGCGGGUGUAGCGGUGAAAUGCGUAGAUAUCCGCAGGAACAUCCGAGGCGAAAGCGGCUCGCUGGAUCACAACUGACGCUGAGGGACGAAAGCUAGGGGAGCAAACAGGAUUAGAUACCCUGGUAGUCCUAGCCCUAAACCAUCAGACUUGGGGUUUGCCCUGUACGGGGCAAGUCCCGUAGCUAACGCGUUAAGUCCUGCGCCUGGGGAGUACGGUCGCAAGACUGAAACUCAAAGGAAUUGACGGGGGCCCGCACAAGCGGUGGAACAUGUGGUUCAAUUCGACGCAACGCGAAGAACCUUACCUGGGCUUGAACCGCACAGGACCAUCUUUG